UACGUAGGUGGCAAGCGUUGUCCGGAAUUAUUGGGCGUAAAGCGCGCGCAGGCGGUCCUUUAAGUCUGAUGUGAAAGCCCACGGCUCAACCGUGGAGGGUCAUUGGAAACUGGGGGACUUGAGUACAGAUGCCGUUGGCGGAAUAUGACAUGUAGUGGUGAAAUACAUAGAGAUGUCAUAGAACACCGAUUGCGAAGGCAGCUGACGAAACUGUAACUGACACUGAGGCUCGAAAGUGUGGGGAUCAAACAGG
rnacentral:rRNA from 1 species